GUGCCAGGGGAAUCCCCGUCAAAACAAGACGGCCAAGUCCCCGCCUCGUGGAGCACCAGGACCAGCAAGUAGGGGAAGCUCGCGUGAAGGAACGAAGAAAAUGGUCAGGAGCUGUAUGAAUGCCCAAUGUGCCACCUUGUUUGUACUGAUUACCCAAUUCUGCAGGAACAUGUUGAAUUACACUUGGAGGAAUGCACCUUUUUAGAAGUGGAAAGAAACUUGACUGACCUAGAAUUGGCACAGCAUCUCCAGAAUGAGGAAGACAGGCAAAGAAGAGCAGCAGCAGCAAAACAAGAAAGAGAAGAUUUCCAAAAGCUACAGAGGCAAUAUGGCUUGGAUGGCUCCGGAGGAUAUAAACAGCAGUCACUAAAAAAUAUGGAAAAGGAAGUGGCUUUUGGGAGAAUGACCCCAUCUGACUAUCACAGGAGAAAAGCAGACAUGAUGGAAUCUCUGGCUUUUGGUAUUGAUGAUGGAAAGACAAAGACUUCGGGAAUUACUGAAGUACUGUGCCAGUACUAUCAGAAUGAAUGUAAAGACAUAAAGCGUGUAUGGCUUUCUACAGGAGUAGAUCACUUCCAUUGUUCUUUAGGAGACAGAGGUUGGGGCUGCGGUUAUAGGAACUUCCAAAUGCUUCUUUCUUCCCUCUUGAGGAACAGUACCUAUGAAGAGUGCUUGAAAGAUAAUUCAUCAAUUCCAUGCAUUCCAAAAAUUCAGUCAUUGAUUGAAGAUGCUUGGAAAGAAGGCUUUGACCCACAAGGAGCUUCUCACUUCAACAGCAGAUUACAUGGAACUAAGGCAUGGAUAGGAGCAUGUGAAAUUUAUUCACUUUUAACUUCUCUCAGGAUAAAGUGUCAGGUCAUUGAUUUUCACCAGCCAACAGGCCCUGCAGGAACACAUCCUCGUUUGUUGGAAUGGGUUUUCAACUAUUACUCGGCAGACAAGGAAAACAGUUCAAAGGUUGUGUGUACUCCCAAGCCACCAAUCUACCUUCAGCACCAAGGUCAUAGUCGUACUAUUAUUGGAAUAGAAGAAAGGAAGAACAAAACUGUGUGCCUACUGAUGUUUGAUCCAGGUUGCCCCUCACAAGAGAUGCAAAAACUCUUAAAAGGCAUAGAUGGGAACAGUCUCAGAUUGCUUCGAAGAUUUGUGGGCAGCUUAAAACAUAAACAGUAUCAGCUUGUGGCCAUAGACGGUGUACUGUCAGCGGAGGAAAAAGUUACUCGUAGGCAGGCUUCUCAGCGUUUCGUGGCUCAGCGGAUUUCUUGAAAUUAGGAAUCCUGAAGAAAAUCAAGGAAGCUGCAGGAGAGAUUCUGGUACAUUCACACAGGUUCUUGAACGAUGUUUCAGCUGCAAUAAAGCCAUAAUUAAAUGGGGAGAAUCUACAGGAGAUUAAGUAAUGCCUCCUUAGUUACCUUUGGAGCAGGAAGAAGCAACCUGUGAUUAUCAAGAUGUUGAUGAACUACAACUUCCAUAAAUCACUGGUCAUGCUAGCUGAAGUUGAUGGGACAACAGCUUGAGGCCCAUGACUUCCCAUCUGUGUCUUAACAUGUUUUAUUGUUUGCACGUGCUGGUUAACACAUGUGCCUAUAAGCAUUUAGGCUGUACCGCUUGAGCCUUUUGUA